rnacentral:rRNA from 1 species
CAGCAGCCGCGGUAAUACAGAGGGUGCAAGCGUUAAUCGGAAUUACUGGGCGUAAAGGGCGCGUAGGUGGUUAUUUAAGUGAGAUGUGAAAUCCCCGGGCUUAACCUGGGAACUGCAUCUUAUACUGGGUAACUGGAGUGCAGUAGAGGGUAGUGGAAUUUCCGGUGUAGCGGUGAAAUGCGUAGAUAUAUGGAGGAACACCGGUGGCGAAAGCGGCUCUCUGGCUUGUAACUGACGCUGAGGCUCGAAAGCGUGGGGAGCAAACAGGAUUAGAUACCCCAGUAGUCCCUGUCUCUUAUAC